rnacentral:lncRNA from 1 species
UCCAUCACCCCAAAAAGAUCCCUCAUAUCAUCAGUAUCCAUCACCCCAAAAAGUUCCCUCAUAUCAUCAGUAACAUCCAUCACCCCAAAAAGAUCCCUCAUAUCAUCAGUAACAUCCAUCACCCCAAAAAGUUCCCUCAUACCAUCAGUAACAAAAAGGACCCCUCAUAUCAUCAGUAACAUCCAUCACCCCAAAAACAUCCCUCAUAUCAUCAGUAACAUCCAUCACCCCAAAAAGACCCCUUAUAUCAUCAGUAACAUCCAUCACCCCAAAAAGAUCCCUCAUAUCAUCAGUAACAUCCAUCACCCCAAAAGAACCCCUCAUAUCAUCAGUAACAUCCAUCACCCCAAAAAGAUCCUUCAUAUCAGUAACAUCCAUCACCCCAAAAAGAUCCCUCAUAUCAGUAACAUCCAUCACCCCAAAAAGAUCCCUCAUAUCAUCCACAGCAUCUGUCACCCCAAAAAGAUCCCUCAUAUCAUCAGUAACAUCCAUCACCCCAAAAAGACCCCUCACAUCAUCAGUAACAUCCAUCACCCCAAAAAGAUCCCUCAUACCAUCCACAACAAACCGCCCCACCUCAUACAAUCACUGACUGGCACUUUGUCACCAUGGAUGGGUUUGUGUGUGGCUUUCCUGUGGUGGAGGAAGACAAUAGGGACUCUUCUGGCCUCGGCAUUUGUUUUUGAGGUGCAUCCAAGUGCGAUUGCUGGGCUGGUGGUGGCUCACGCCUAUAAUCCCAGCUCUUUGGGAGUCCGGGGCAG